rnacentral:rRNA from 1 species
CAAUAAGCGGAGGAAAAGAAACUAACAAGGAUUCCCCUAGUAACUGCGAGUGAAGCGGGAAAAGCUCAAAUUUAAAAUCUGGCGGUCUUUGGCCGUCCGAGUUGUAGUCUGGAGAAGUGCUUUCCGCGCUGGACCGUGUAUAAGUCUCUUGGAACAGAGCGUCAUAGAGGGUGAGAAUCCCGUCUUUGACACGGACUACCAGUGCUUUGUGAUGCGCUCUCGAAGAGUCGAGUUGUUUGGGAAUGCAGCUCAAAAUGGGUGGUAAAUUCCAUCUAAAGCUAAAUAUUGGCGAGAGACCGAUAGCGAACAAGUACCGUGAGGGAAAGAUGAAAAGCACUUUGGAAAGAGAGUUAAACAGUACGUGAAAUUGCUGAAAGGGAAACGCUUGAAGUCAGUCGCGUCUGCCGGAACUCAGCCUUGCUUUCGCUUGGUGCAUUUUCCGGUAGACGGGCCAGCAUCGAUUUUGACCGUCGGAAAAGGGCCAGGGAAAUGUGGCACCUUCGGGUGUGUUAUAGUCUCUGGUCGUAUACGACGGUUGGGAUCGAGGAACGCAGCGCGCCGCAAGGCAGGGGUUCGCCCACUUUCGCGCUUAGGAUGCUGGCGUAAUGGCUUUAAACGACCCGUCUUGAAACACGGACCAAGGAGUCUAACAUGCCUG